rnacentral:lncRNA from 1 species
GUAAUUACAGCUGUGGCUGCAUGGAAAUGGGAGCAGCCUGUUUGCUGCUCCUGCCCAGGGAUUUGUUCUUGUUUGCUGCUCUUGCCCAGGGAUUUAUUCCUGUUUGCUGCUCCUGCCCAAGGAUUCAUUCCCAUUUUGUGCUCCUGCCCAAGGAUUCAUUCCCGUUUUCUGCUCCUGCCCAGAGAUUUAUUCCAGUUUUCUGCUCCUGCCCAGAGAUUUAUUCCAGUUUUCUGUUCCUGCCCAAGGGUUCAUUCCCAUUUCGUGCUCCUGCCCAAGGAUUCAUUCCCGUUUUCUGCUCCUGCCCAGGGAUUUAUUCCUGUUUUCUGUUCCUGCCCAAGGGUUCAUUCCCAUUUUGUGCUCCUACCCAAGGAUUCAUUCCCGUUUUCUGCUCCUGCCCAGGGAUUUAUUCCCGUUUUCUGUUCCUGCCCAAGGGUUUAUUCCCGUUUGCUGCUCCUGCCGAAGGAUUCAUUCCCAUUUUGUGCUCCUGCCCAAGGGUUCAUUCCCGUUUUCUGCUCCUACCCAAGGAUUCAUUCCCAUUUUCUGCUCCUGCCCCAGGGGAUGCGGGCUGGAGCAUCUGGGCAGGGCGAGCUCCGGUCCUGCAUCCUCCCGGUGCUGCGGGACGGGGAUGGAUGCCCAGAGCUCCCCUUGGCAUGGUGAGGGCUGGGCAGGCAGUCCCGCUCCAGAAUGGCCCUGCAGAACGGGCCGGGGGCUAUUUCGGUGCUCUCCCCGCUCCAGACUGCCCUGCACAUAGAGCUGGGGGCUAUUUCUGUGCCGGGGCAUUGCAGGAAGCCCCUCCCGGGGAGGAGAGCAUCCACCCCGCUGCACGAACUUCCUCCCCGCGGUAUUUUUAGUGAAACACAAAGCGGGCGGGAGGCAGAUUAGCAUCGGGAGGAGCCGUGCCCUGCCAAGAGCCUUUGUUCCCGGAGCCACGGGGGACCGAGGGGUCACCCCGGGACCCCCCAGCUCCCCGGGAUAGGGGAGGGGUCCUGCCCCAGCCUGGAAUGGGGAUGCUCAGGGUGGUCCAGCCCAGGGAGGG